AGAAAAGUAGAUGCCGCCCCGCACAGGGGCAACACUAAUAGACCGACAUGGAUGCAAAUUCAACGAGAGACGCGGAUCACAGAAAAACAACCCGCGCCCCGCGCAACCCAA
rnacentral:sRNA from 1 species